GGAGGUUCAUGAGUGCAGAAGACAGAACUUUCACAGGAUUUAAACCUGGCUAUGGAAUCCGUCUCCACAGGACAUUAGAUUGAUCAUGGACCAGAACUAGGAAAUAGCUUCAAAAGAUCUGGACAUUUCUUCUCACUGGACAUUGGACAAUGUUCAACCAGGCCACCUUCUCUGGGAAAGCAAGACACCAGGUAGAUUUUGGGAUGAACAUCACUGAGUGGCAUGUUUGGGUUUGCUGACAGCAAGUCUGGGGUUGUCUAAAUAGCCAUAAAACUGUGGAACUUUCAUAGCUCAUUGUCUCUGCUGGAAAAAAAAA